AUUGAACGCUGGCGGCAGGCCUAACACAUGCAAGUCGAGCGGAUGAAGGGAGCUUGCUCCUGGAUUCAGCGGCGGACGGGUGAGUAAUGCCUAGGAAUCUGCCUGGUAGUGGGGGAUAACGUCCGGAAACGGGCGCUAAUACCGCAUACGUCCUGAGGGAGAAAGUGGGGGAUCUUCGGACCUCACGCUAUCAGAUGAGCCUAGGUCGGAUUAGCUAGUUGGUGGGGUAAAGGCCUACCAAGGCGACGAUCCGUAACUGGUCUGAGAGGAUGAUCAGUCACACUGGAACUGAGACACGGUCCAGACUCCUACGGGAGGCAGCAGUGGGGAAUAUUGGACAAGGGGCGAAAGCCUGAUCCAGCCAUGCCGCGUGUGUGAAGAAGGUCUUCGGAUCGUAAAGCACUUUAAGUUGGGAGGAAGGGCAGUAAGUUAAUACCUUGCUGUUUUGACGUUACCAACAGAAUAAGCACCGGCUAACUUCG
rnacentral:rRNA from 1 species